GAUGAACGCUGGCGGCGUGCCUAAUACAUGCAAGUCAAGCGAACAGAUAAGGAGCUUGCUCCUUUGACGUUAGCGGCGGACGGGUGAGUAACACGUGGGUAACCUACCUAUAAGACUGGGAUAACUUCGGGAAACCGGAGCUAAUACCGGAUAAUAUUUCGAACCGCAUGGUUCGAUAGUGAAAGAUGGUUUUGCUAUCACUUAUAGAUGGACCCGCGCCGUAUUAGCUAGUUGGUAAGGUAACGGCUUACCAAGGCGACGAUACGUAGCCGACCUGAGAGGGUGAUCGGCCACACUGGAACUGAGACACGGUCCAGACUCCUACGGGAGGCAGCAGUAGGGAAUCUUCCGCAAUGGGCGAAAGCCUGACGGAGCAACGCCGCGUGAGUGAUGAAGGUCUUCGGAUCGUAAAACUCUGUUAUUAGGGAAGAACAUACGUGUAAGUAACUGUGCACGUCUUGACGGUACCUAAUCAGAAAGCCACGGCUAACUACGUG
rnacentral:rRNA from 1 species